rnacentral:rRNA from 1 species
GUUUGAUUCUGGCUCAGGAUGAACGCUGGCGGCAUGCCUAAUACAUGCAAGUCGAACGGAGUGAAGCCUUCGGGUUUCAUUCAGUGGCGAACGGGUGAGUAAUACGCAGGGAACCUGGCCAUGGCAGGGGGAUACACUCUGGAAACGGAGCAUAAGACCCCAUAGGCAGUAAGGCGGCAUCGCCUUACUGUUAAAGAAAGCUGAAAGGCUUUGGCGAUGGAUGGACCUGCGGUGCAUUAGCUUGUUGGUGAGGCAACGGCUUACCAAGGCGAUGAUGCAUAGCCGGCCUGAGAGGGCGGACGGCCACACUGGGACUGAGACACGGCCCAGACUCCUGCGGGAGGCAGCAGUAGGGAAUUUUCGUCAAUGGGCGCAAGCCUGAACGAGCAAUGCCGCGUGAGUGAGGAAGGUCUUCGGACUGUAAAGCUCUGUUGCCGGGGAAAAAGGGGAAAUGCAGGAAAUGGCAUUUCAUGGAUGGUACCCGGCCAGAAAGCCACGGCUAACUACGUGCCAGCAGCCGCGGUAAUACGUAGGUGGCGAGCGUUAUCCGGAGUGAUUGGGCGUAAAGGGUGCGCAGGCGGUCUGUUAAGUCUGAAGGCAAAGGGAUGAGCUCAACUCAUUUAUGAUUCAGAAACUGGCAGACUUGAGGACAGGAGAGGGCGGUGGAACUCCAUGUGUAGCGGUAAAAUGCGCAGAGAUAUGGAAGAACACCAGUGGCGAAGGCGGCCGCCUGGCCUGUGACUGACGCUGAGGCACGAAAGCGUGGGGAGCAAAUAGGAUUAGAUACCCUAGUAGUCCACGCCGUAAACGAUGAGGAGCAGGUGUUGGGAGUGAAAUCUCAGUGCCGAAGCCAACGCAGUGACUCCUCCGCCUGGGGAGUAUGCACGCAAGUGUGAAACUCAAAGGAAUUGACGGGGGCCCGCACAAGCGGUGGAGUAUGUGGUUUAAUUCGAAGCAACGCGAAGAACCUUACCAGGUUUUGACAUCGGAUGCGAAGGCGCAGAGAUGCGCUGGAGGCUAUCAUCCAGACAGGUGGUGCAUGGUUGUCGUCAGCUCGUGUCGUGAGAUGUUCAGUUAAGUCUGGCAACGAGCGCAACCCCUGUGGUAUGUUACUAACGCAUUUGGGCGAGGACUCAUAUCAGACUGCCGGUGACAAACCGGAGGAAGGCGGGGAUGACGUCAAAUCAUCAUGCCCCUUAUGACCUGGGCUACACACGUACUACAAUGGCGUCUACAGAGGGAAGCGACCCUGAGAAGGGAAGCGAAACCGGAAAAGGGCGUCCCAGUUCGGAUUGAUGUCUGCAACCCGACUUCAUGAAGAUGGAAUCGCUAGUAAUCGCGGAUCAGCAUGCCGCGGUGAAUACGUUCCCGGGCCUUGUACACACCGCCCGUCAAACCAUGGAAGCCGGCAACGCCCGAAGCCGGUGGCAUAACCUUUUAGGAGUGAGCCGUCGAAGGCGGGGCCGAUGACUGGGGUUAAGUCGUAACAAGGUAUCC